GUGUGACGAUGUACACUUGGGGGUGGGGGGAGAGGAUGUCCGGUGUUCUAACAGUUUAUCCUACAUUAUCAGAUUUUCCUACCGGAGCGCAAAAUGAUAGUUAGAACCAUCGGUUUUUCCUACUUUAUCAGAAAAUCCUAGCCAUAUAAACGGGGAGUUUUGAACUGAAGUGCACUACAUAAAGAAAUCCUACCCCACGUCAGGGUAGCACAGUUUUAUGGGGUGAAGUGACAGUGGUGGACCGUCAGGGUCAGUAAGUCCUUCUCUGCUGGACUAAACAGCAGUGAUCUGAAUCACUGACUUGCAUUUUAAUAUAUUUAAUAUAUUUUUUCAUGAAUGUGUAUUAAAUUAUUCCCAAUAGUCUAUUCUCUACAUUUCAUAGCAUUUCUCACAGUUGCGCUGCUUCCAGUAGUGUAUAUUUAUGAUAAGAGUAUUUAUCCAAUCAUAUUUCAGCUAGUGGAUGACAUCAUGUGUUGCCAGGGUGAAAGAAAUCUGCCUUAAGGCCUUCAGAAUCAAUAGUGCAGGCGCCCGGAACUUAAAAUAAGUGUUAAUGAAAUUGUUACCUUAACCAAUCAGAUUUCGAGUUGGCAUCACUGGGGCCAUCUAGCAGGCAUACAAUUACAUCAGCAAUUUCCCGUCUUUUGAUUGGAUAGUUGGAGUAGUCAGAGGCAGCGACCCGCCCAUAAACAUUGUUUCUAUAUUCACUGCGUCUCAUUUCGGAUGCUGCGUCCUCUGGAGAUUGCAGUUUGCUGCAUAAUUCAUCUAGAAUGUCUUUUUUGAAAAAAGUAACUGUAAUAAAAUGGACUAUUCCUUUUGAGGUGUGAAAUACUGUAGACUAAUUUCUUUUUUACUUUGUUAUUUAAUGGGUGAUUAGUAUCUAUUGCCGUGGCGUCCAGGGGCGAUUCUAGAAUUUUCAUUUGAGGGUAUAAUAGUAAAAAACAAAUUAAUAAACAAAUAAAUAAAUAAAAUAAAGGUUUGACUAACAGGGUAGGAUGGUAAACGUAUUGUAGCAUUCCACUGUAUUGCAUAGAUGCGUAUAACAUUUGAGUAUUAAACAAUACUUCCUGAUUUCACACUCACACACACACACACACACACACACACACACACACAGACACACACACACACACAGACACACACACACACACACACACGUCCUCUGAUCCUCACUCUGUGAUGCCACGGUCUGCAGAUUGAAGAACACAAUGAAAGUCGGGGAAGAGCUGAAGUCUGCUGCUGUUUCCAUAUGAAGUUUAAAGGGGACUGAGGAGAUCACCAAUUUGUGUAGAGUUUAUGGAGAAUCGCAGAAUUUUAGGAGGGCUGAGUAGAAAAUGGCCUAGCGACGCUCAUGGUGGCGUCAUAAUGAUGGUAUAGGGGUGGAUUAAUUCAGGAAGGACACCAGUGAAGGCCUAGGUGUGAAAUGCAUGGCCCCCCACUGUGAAGUGAGAAUAGAGACUGAAUAAAUGAACCAAAAGUUAUUUUGUGGUGGAACUGGACAAACUGACCACACAAAAUUACAACUGGUACCCAAAUAUUUAGUUGUAGAUUAACCAAAAAGAAAAAGAAAACGUGUUUCACAAACACUUUGUACAAAUGAAAUCAGUCAAAUCAAACUGAUCCUUAGGAUCAAAAUAUGCACAGUGAAAGUGUGUCCAUCAGUCACACUGCCCAUCUGUCACACUGUCCAUCGGUCACACUGUCCAUCGGUCACACAGUCCAUCAGUCACACUGUCCAUCGGUCACACUGUCCAUCGGUCACACUGUCCAUCGGUCACACAGUCCAUCAGUCACACUGUCCAUCAGUCACACUGUCCAUCAGUCACACUGUCCAUCGGUCACACUGUCCAUCGGUCACACAGUCCAUCGGUCACACUGUCCAUCGGUCACACUGCCCAUCGGUCACACUGUCCAUCGGUCACACUGUCCAUCAGUCACACUGCACUGGUCACACUGCACCUACAAGUAUAAAAAAGUAAUAAAUUAGCAAUAUGAGAGAAUCUGUUGCAGACAGGAAAAAAUCUAAAUAUUUGUACAGUUUGUCCAAAUACAUGUGCAUAACAAUUUACACUUAACUGCAAUUGUUAGUGUGUGCUUUUAUGUGUACAUGUGUGUAACACUGUAACCCUUGAUAAGUAAUCCAACUUUACAUAGAUUUUGUUGUAUGUAUUUAAUACAAAGAUUUACCAUUUUAAUUAGGCUUUUGUCAGCAUCACAUUCCAACAUGGAGCAAAUGACACAGUAGUCCGAUGCCUUGCCUAAACAAACACAAGUUCCCAUAAACUUUUUGUGCUUCUAUCAUGAAAUAUGCGUGACUGAGGCAACACCAUUAGAUGAUUAUUGUGGAUAUUUCAUUACUCUAGAGCCCACCCUGAAAUUCCAGGAGGGUCCAGACUAUUUCCAAUCGGGCACAUGUCACAAAAUCUGAAGUUGUCUGAACUCCACUGAUGUCUCCCACUGAAAGGAGAUGUUCAGCAAACUGCAGAUAAGAAUCAAUCAGGAUAUAAUAUUUUCAAUUUGUCACCAUGUGAGUACAUAUCUUCAGUUCUGAGCUGAGGUUCAGCAUGAAUCUAUUCAGUUCAGCAUGGGCAUGCAAUCCACCAUGACAUGCAAUGUGCAGUGGUACAGAGCUAAAGCUGAAGAACUGAAGAGCUGAAGCACUAUAUUGUGGGCCAGAGCAGUGCUUUACGGUGACUUAACGACAUUGAUGAUAACCUACUUCUGACUUUAGUAUGUUUUUAGUUUUAAGGCACACAACUUUAUCAGUUUCUUUCUGUAUCAGGUUCAGUUAGCGGAUAUUUUAAACACGGCACACAGUCUUGUGUCGAUGUUGAACAUCAGGCUAAGUUCAUCAGGGAAUGUCAGGCCAGUCAGACAGGGAAAUACAAGUCAGUCUCCUGAGGGCCCGGGAGCCCAAAGAGAGUCCCCUCAACAGACAGGACAAGUAGUAACGAGGCCCCAGGGCAGUGGCUUUGGACUGUCAGUGCAUCAAGAAAUGGCUAGAUCAUUUCCUGGACUUUUCCACAAAGAGGCCAAAGGCAAAAGACGUUUUGCACCUUAUGCACAACCACAAAAGAUUUUUUUAGUUAACUUUUUUCUGCUUGAUAAACGUCCAAAGACACCCAAAGGAGAUGAGGAGCUCCAGCUUGUACUGGCUGGACUUGGAAAACAUUCACUAACAGUAAACAUCACACAUUGAGUUGACAGAUUUGCUUUGGAACACAUAUCCAAGACUUAAAAGUAUCUUUGGUGGCUGGUUGCUACACAAAUCCACAGGUGGGGGUGGGCAACACAAAUUGGCUGUUAUUCCUCCUGACUCAAAUGGAUACAAUCGGUAGCAGCUAAAAGGAGAAGCCUUCACCCAGGACCAUUUGCCACCAGUGUGCCCAGAAAACCAGGCAGAGCUGACUGCCGAGUGUCCUGUGUGCAGAGGUGCAUUCGACAUUGAUGUAAUUGAGACUCAUGCAUCUGACUGUGGAUUACGGACAGCAGACCAGGAAGGCAAUGGCAGCAUUUUAAGUGAAGCAAUGAACUCCAUGUUUCCGCUGGUGAGCCCCGUGUUGUACGCAGUGGAGCAGGAUCUCAGAGCAUCAUGAACGGAUUUAUCCACCCACG